CAAUGUAUCCCCAGGUGCUGUUUAUCUGCAGGGCUCCACAGGCCGCUGAGGGACAGCUGUACUCGGGAAAGACCAGAAGCUUCCCACGGAGAUUGUGUUAAACCGUUGAUGCCACAUUGUACACAGCGUUGUAUACCGGACAUGCUAAAUCGACCAGACAACGAACACAGCCCAUCAGUAGAUAAAAACAGAACAUCAGCCUUGACAACAAGGAAGGGUGCAGUAAUGGCCCAUCAUAUUCCAGAUCAAAAGACUCGAAUUGCCAGCUGAAAUGCAGAGCGGACACAACUUCCUAUUGUUCAGCCCCACACCAGCAACUUAGAUUACACAGAACCAUGCUUCACAGUUAGGUGUUGCUCAUUCAAUCUACUGAUCCUAAAGUUAGGAAUAUUUAAGAGAGAUUUUGGUAUUGUAUCCAAGAGUCAAAAACCAAGAGAUAUGUAACCAGUUUUAUGUUUAUAUUUAAAUAAUGUUGUCCAUAAAACAAUUUGAAUUGUUA